GCUAGCAGAAAUAGCACGUUGUAUCAGUUCUCAAUAGAUCACUGAAGUUAAGCAAUGUUGCGUGUGGUUAGUAUCCGGAUGGGUGACUAUCUGGGCAACGCGUGCUGCUGGCU
rnacentral:rRNA from 1 species